GUUGUGGCUCAGUGGUAGAGCCCUUGCUAGCAUGUGCAAGGCCCUAGGUUCAAUCCUCAGCACCACA
rnacentral:tRNA from 1 species